GGCCGCUAGCUUACUUCACUUAAGACAUUUGAUCUCUUAAGUGAAGUAAGCUAGCGGCC
rnacentral:miRNA from 1 species